UACGUAGGCAGCGAGCGUUGUUCGGAGUUACUGGGCGUAAAGGGUGUGUAGGCGGUUUUUUAAGUUUGGUGUGAAAUCUCCCGGCUCAACCGGGAGGGUGCGCCGAAUACUGAGAGACUCGAGUGCGGGAGGGGAGAGUGGAAUUCCUGGUGUAGCGGUGAAAUGCGUAGAUAUCAGGAGGAACACCGGUGGUGUAGACGGCUCUCUGGACCGUAACUGACGCUGAGACACGAAAGCGUGGGUAGCAAACAGG
rnacentral:rRNA from 1 species